rnacentral:rRNA from 1 species
CCUACGGGAGGCAGCAGUAAGGAAUAUUGGUCAAUGGACGCAAGUCUGAACCAGCCAUGCCGCGUGGAGGAUGAAGGUCCUCUGGAUUGUAAACUUCUUUUAUCUGGGACGAAAAAGGGGGAUUCUUCCUCAACUGACGGUACCAGAUGAAUAAGCACCGGCUAACUCCGUGCCAGCAGCCGCGGUAAUACGGAGGGUGCAAGCGUUAUCCGGAUUCACUGGGUUUAAAGGGUGCGUAGGGUGGGCAGGUAAGUCAGUGGUGAAAUCUCCGGGCUUAACCCGGAAACUGCCAUUGAUACUAUUUGUCUUGAAUAUCGUGGAGGUUAGCGGAAUAUGUCAUGUAGCGGUGAAAUGCUUAGAUAUGACAUAGAACACCAAUUGCGAAGGCAGCUGGCUACACGAAUAUUGACACUGAUGCACGAAAGCGUGGGGAUCAAACAGGAUUAGAUACCCUGGUAGUCCACGCCCUAAACGAUGGAUACUCGACAUACGCGAUACACUGUGUGUGUCUGAAGCGAAAGCAUUAAGUAUCCCACCUGGGAAGUACGAUCGCAAGAUUGAAACUCAAAGGAAUUGACGG